rnacentral:rRNA from 1 species
ACGCUCGACACCUACGGUGGCAGCAGUGGGGAAUAUUGCACAAUGGGGGAAACCCUGAUGCAGCGACGCCGCGUGGAGGAAGAAGGUCUUCGGAUUGUAAACUCCUGUUGUUGGGGAAAAAGAGGAUGGUACCCAACAAGGAAGUGACGGCUAACUACGUGCCAACAGCCGCGGUAAUCUGAGCGGGCUGGCAAGGC